rnacentral:rRNA from 1 species
UACGAAGGGGGCUAGCGUUGCUCGGAAUCACUGGGCGUAAAGCGCGCGCAGGCGGCUCUUUAAGUCUACCCGUGAAAUGCCGGAGCUCAACUCCGUGCACGCCGGGGGAUACUGGAGAGCUGGAGACAUGUAGAGGCAAGCGGAAUUCCGGGUGUAGCGGUGGAAUGCGUAGAGAUCCGGAAGAACACCGGAGGCGAAGGCGGCUUGCUGGGCAUGGUCUGACGCUGAGGCGCGAAAGCGUGGGGAGCGAACAGG